UACUAAGUGUCUUAAUUCCUGAAGUGA
rnacentral:piRNA from 1 species